CACUGCAUCACUGAUAAAGCUUUUAUUUUCAGCAUUUUAGAAGUGCAUUUCCUGCCAUCUAUGAAUAGGUCUCCAAGCGAUAUGAAUAGGCCCCCAAGAGGGUGCGGCUCAGAACACGGACAAUGCAUCCAGCCUGCUCCUCCUCUCUGUCAGAGAUCAGGCCACCCCGAGCUUUCUGAAAACCAUUCGAGGGAAAGAGGCAAUAAAUAGCCCUAGGAACUCUGCUAAUGCUUGACACCAGGGAAGUCUGAGGUUGACAGCAGGGUUUGGCGUGGGCAGGAUGAGGGGUUGUUGGUGUAAUAGUGCAGAGGGAAAAAGAGAAGAAAAAGGAGUGCAAGGAGGAGAGGGAGAGUGGGAAGAGGAAGACAAAGAGAAAGAAGAAGAAAAAGAAGAAGUGGUAACAACAAAAACAACGGCAAUAACAAUAAGACCUGAGGUCACAUUCAAACAAAAAGAGCCCCUAAGGCAAUGUUUUUCAAAAUGCAGAAUACUUGUUCAGAAUGCUUGCGCUGUCAUUAAAAUGCACCACUCUGCCAUCUUCCCGGAAGUCCUUAAAAUGUAGCUUCCUGAGCCAUUAACAAUAUAAAUUUGUACAAAAAAGGCUUAGAAAUGUCUUUUUCACAAGACCCUCAAGGUGAUUCUGG
rnacentral:lncRNA from 1 species